AACGAACGCUGGCGGCAGGCUUAACACAUGCAAGUCGAACGCCCCGCAAGGGGAGUGGCAGACGGGUGAGUAACGCGUGGGAAUCUACCCAGAUCUUCGGAACAACUGAGGGAAACUUCAGCUAAUACCGGAUACGCCCUACGGGGGAAAGAUUUAUCGGUUCUGGAUGAGCCCGCGUUGGAUUAGCUAGUUGGUGGGGUAGUGGCCUACCAAGGCGACGAUCCAUAGCUGGUCUGAGAGGAUGAUCAGCCACACUGGGACUGAGACACGGCCCAGACUCCUACGGGAGGCAGCUGUGGGGAAUAUUGGACAAUGGGCGAAAGCUUGAUCCAGCCAUGCCGCGUGAGUGAUGAAGGCCUUAGGGUUGUAAAGCUCUUUUGCCAGGGAAGAUGAUGACUGUACCUGGAGAAUAAGCCCCGGCUAACUUCGUGCCAGCCGCCGCGGUAACAC
rnacentral:rRNA from 1 species